GGGGAUAUGGCGAAACUGGUAGACGCACAGCACUAAGGAUGCUGUGGAGAAAUCCAUAGGAGUUCGAGUCUCCUUAUCCCCACCA
rnacentral:tRNA from 1 species